rnacentral:rRNA from 1 species
GACGAACGCUGGCGGCGUGCUUAACACAUGCAAGUCGAACGGGUCUGCCCUGUUUUUUGCGGGGUGGGUCAGUGGCGAACGGGUGAGUAACACGUGAGUAACCUGCCCCUCACUUCUGGAUAACCGCUUGAAAGGGUGGCUAAUACGGGGUGUUCUGGCUGUGCCGCAGGGUGUGGCUGGGAAAGAUGCACUUUUGUGAUGGUUUGGUGGGGGAUGGGCUCGCGGCCUAUCAGCUUGUUGGUGGGGUGAUGGCCUGCCAAGGCUUUGACGGGUAGCCGGCCUGGGAGGGUGGGCGGUCACACUGGGACUGAGAUACGGCCGAGACUCCGGCGGGAGCCAGCAGUGGGGGGUAUGGAACAAUGGGCGGAAGCGUGAUGCAGCGACGUCGCGGGAGCGAUGGAGGCCUUCGGGUUGUGAACCUCUUUCGCCGGUGAAGAAGGUCCUGCUCUUUGGGGUGGGGUGGACGGUAGCCGGGUUAUGAAGCGCCGGCUAACUACGUG